UAACUGGGCGUUAAGUUGCAGGGUAUAGACCCGAAACCCGGUGAUCUAGCCAUGGGCAGGUUGAAGGUUGGGUAACACUAACUGGAGGACCGAACCGACUAAUGUUGAAAAAUUAGCGGAUGACUUGUGGCUGGGGGUGAAAGGCCAAUCAAACCGGGAGAUAGCUGGUUCUCCCCGAAAGCUAUUUAGGUAGCGCCUCGUGAAUUCAUCUCCGGGGGUAGAGCACUGUUUCGGCAAGGGGGUCAUCCCGACUUACCAACCCGAUGCAAACUGCGAAUACCGGAGAAUGUUAUCACGGGAGACACACGGCGGGUGCUAACGUCCGUCGUGAAGAGGGAAACAACCCAGACCGCCAGCUAAGGUCCCAAAGUCAUGGUUAAGUGGGAAACGAUGUGGGAAGGCCCAGACAGCCAGGAUGUUGGCUUAGAAGCAGCCAUCAUUUAAAGAAAGCGUAAUAGCUCACUGGUCGAGUCGGCCUGCGCGGAAGAUGUAACGGGGCUAAACCAUGCAC
rnacentral:rRNA from 1 species